CCUACGGGGGGCAGCAGUGAGGAAUAUUGGUCAAUGGGCGCGAGCCUGAACCAGCCAAGUCGCGUGAGGGAGGACGGCCCUACGGGUUGUAAACCUCUUUUGCCGGGGAGCAACGGGCGUCACGUGUGGCGCCACUGAGAGUACCCGGAGAAAAAGCAUCGGCUAACUCCGUGCCAGCAGCCGCGGUAAUACGGAGGAUGCGAGCGUUGUCCGGAAUCAUUGGGCGUAAAGAGUUCGUAGGCGGCACGUAAAGUCUGGUGUUAAAGGCAGAGGCUCAACUUCUGUACGGCACUGGAUACUUGCGAGCUAGAAUGCGGUAGAGGUAAAGGGAAUUCCUGGUGUAGCGGUGAAAUGCUUAGAUAUCAGGAGGAACAUCGGUGGCGUAAGCGCUUUACUGGGCCGUAAUUGACGCUGAGGAACGAAAGCCAGGGUAGCAAAUGGGAUUAGAUACCCUUGUAGUC
rnacentral:rRNA from 1 species